CUGUAAUCCCAGCUACUCGGGAGGCUGAGACAGGAGAACUGCUUGAACCCAGGAUGCGGAGGUUGUAGUGAGCCGAGAUCAUGCCACUGCACUCCCGCCUGGGUGACAAAGGUAGAAUCUAUCCAAAAAAAAAAAAAAAAGUUAUUAUUUCUGAAGAUUGUAUGAAAUUUAUAAAAGUCUGCUGGCCCUGAUAUGAUGCUGUCAGUCAUGAUUCUGAUUACUGUCUUAAAAUGCUGCACAUAAGUAAUUAAAUUUCCUUGUGAACUGGGAAGUUUCAUCAGACUUUUAUCAUAACUAUUGUUUCCAUCAUCCACAGUUACUGUUUUGAAUUCUUCUCUAAAAAUAUUUGUAAUUGGCAAUAGUCCAAAUUUUCUUUUGUUUUCUUUCCUGUUUUUGAGACACAGUCUGGCUCUGUCGCCUAAGCUGGAGUGCAGUGGUGGGAUCUCGGCUCACUGCAAACUCUGCCUCCCGGGUUCACGCCAUUCUCCUGCCUCAGCCACCCAAGUAGCUGGGACUACAAGUGCUGCCACCACAUCCAGCUAAUUUUUUGUAUUUUUAGUAGAGACAGGGUUUCACUGUGUUAGCCAGGAUGGUCUCAAUCUCCUGAUCUCGUGAUCUCCGCGCCUCGGCCUCCCAAAGUGCUGGGAUUACAGGCAUGAGCCACUGUGCCCAGCUUAAGAUCUCUGUUUUAAUGUUAAUGCUGGUCAGUUGUGUCUGGAUUCCAGAGG
rnacentral:lncRNA from 1 species